rnacentral:rRNA from 1 species
UACAGAGGUCUCAAGCGUUGUUCGGAAUCACUGGGCGUAAAGGGAGCGUAGGCGGCGCGGUAAGUCAGAUGUGAAAUCCCGGGGCUCAACCCCGGAACUGCAUCCGAUACUGCCGUGCUAGAGGAUUGGAGAGGUAGCUGGAAUUCUUGGUGUAGCAGUGAAAUGCGUGGAGAUCAAGAGGAACACUCGUGCCGAAAGCGAGCUACUGGACAAUACCUGACGCUGAGGCUCGAAGGCCAGGGUAGCGAAAGGG